GGAGGAAAGAACUAACUAGGAUGUCCUUAGUAGCUGCGAGCGAAGAGGACACAUAGCCCAGCACUGAAUCCCGCGCUCGACCCUCGGGCGUCGGGAGAUGUGGUGUUUGGGAGAGCUCAUCAACCGGAGGCCGUCGGACAAGCCCAAGUCCUUCUUGAACGGGGCCACUUACCCAUAGAGGGUGCCAGGCCCGUAAAGGCUGUCCGCGGUCGUCGGCGAGCUUCUCCUUAGAGUCGGGUUGCUUUAGAGUGCAGCCCUAAGUAGGUGGUAAACUCCAUCUAAGGCUAAAUAUGACCACGAGACCGAUAGCGAACAAGUACCGUGAGGGAAAGUUGAAAAGGACUUUGAAGAGAGAGUUCAAUAGUACGUGAAACCGUUCAGGGGUAAACCUGCGAAACCCGAAAAGUUCGAACGGGGAUAUUCAACGCGUCCGGUUUGGCGGACGAGCCGGGUCGGCUCUCGACGGGCGAUCGUUCGCGGUCGCUCGCGGACGUCCCGGCCGUCUUGUCACCGGCGCGUGCACUUAUCCCCUUGUAGGACGUCGCGAUCCGUCGGGCGUCGGUCUACGGUCGGCGGUGGAGCCCGCGCGCGCCUCGGCGCGUGCGAACCCGUCGAUUCUCCGGCCGACUCGCUCGACGGUAUCUCUCGAGGCGCGGAGCCGCGACUAGUUCGCAUCCGACUGUUCGCAAGCGCGGCCGGUCUCCCGGCUGUCGGAUCUAACGCCGGCACCGGGCCCGGACGGCUGCUGGCGGGCACGUUCUCGGAUAGACUCNNACUCCUACUCGGCGACGC
rnacentral:rRNA from 1 species